GGGAGAGAUGGAGAGAGAUCUGGAGAAAAUGUUAUUUGAUGACAAAACUGUAAUCUCUGCACAAUUAGAAUUUUCAGUUUUUGGUUUUAGUGAUUUGUUAUCUUUCCAAAUGGUGUUCAAUUUCUGACAAGGAUUCUGAAUUUGUUAGAAUUUCAAAGCAAAGUUGACUGUCAAUUAGAAUUAAUAAGAUCAUAAGAAUGUAUGUAGG
rnacentral:misc_RNA from 1 species